rnacentral:tRNA from 1 species
GGAGAGAUGGGUGAGUGGCUGAAACCAACAGUUUGCUAAACUGUCGUACUGGAUAACGGUACCGCGAGUUCGAAUCUCGCUCUCUCCG